rnacentral:rRNA from 1 species
GGCUCGUGUCGUGAGAUGUUGGGUUAAGUCCCGUAACGAGCGCAACCCUUGUCCUUAGUUACCAGCACGUUAUGGUGGGCACUCUAAGGAGACUGCCGGUGACAAACCGGAGGAAGGUGGGGAUGACGUCAAGUCAUCAUGGCCCUUACGGCCUGGGCUACACACGUGCUACAAUGGUCGGUACAAAGGGUUGCCAAGCCGCGAGGUGGAGCUAAUCCCAUAAAACCGAUCGUAGUCCGGAUCGCAGUCUGCAACUCGACUGCGUGAAGUCGGAAUCGCUAGUAAUCGUGAAUCAGAAUGUCACGGUGAAUACGUUCCCGGGCCUU